rnacentral:lncRNA from 1 species
GAGAGUGCCCUGAGAAAAUAUCCUCCAAAAAGGAAGUUGAAACAAAGACCUUUUUUAGACAGAUAAAAGCCGAGAGAAUUGACUGUUGCCAGACCCAUGCUACCAAAAAAUCACAAAGGAAGUUCUUCAAACACGGAAAAUAAUACAAGAUACAAACCUGGAUCUGCACAGAAGUAUAAAAGGACAUUGAAUGGAAAUAUGUGGCAGAGAUGGCAAGCACAAAGAAAUGAGAUUCACGCUAU